CCCAGACUCCUACGGGAGGCAGCAGUGGGGGAUAUUGGACAAUGGGGGAAACCCUGAUCCAGCGAUGCCGCGUGAGGGAAGAAGGUUUUCGGAUUGUAAACCUCUGUGGACAGGGACGAUAAUGACGGUACCUGUCAAGAAAGCCACGGCUAACUACGUGCCAGCAGCCGCGGUAAUACGUAGGUGGCGAGCGUUGUCCGGAAUUACUGGGUGUAAAGGGAGUGUAGGCGGGAAGGCAAGUCCGGAGUGAAAGUCCAUGGCUUAACCAUGGUACUGCUCUGGAAACUGUGGAGCUUGAGUGCGGGAGGGGCAGGCGGAAUUCCUAGUGUAGCGGUGAAAUGCGUAGAUAUUAGGAGGAACACCGGCGGCGAAGGCGGCCUGCUGGACCGUAACUGACGUUGAGGCUCGAAAGCGUGGGGAGCAAACAGGAUUAGAUACCCGCGUAUG
rnacentral:rRNA from 1 species